rnacentral:snRNA from 1 species
AUGCUCAUUUCAGCAGCACAUAUACAAAAAUUAGAAUGAUACAGAGAAGAUUAGCAUGGCCCCUGCACUACGAUGACAGACAAAUCUGUGAAGCAUUCCAUAUUUUU